UACAACUAGUAAGUGGGAGAACAGCAUUCCGACGUGGAUACUCGAGUAUUAUCACCUCCAGUUUAAAGAGGAACCACAAGAUGAAGCCUUUGAACAAUACAAAAAACACUCUUCCCACAAAUCUCUGCCUGAUGCCGUGGAGGAAUUCUGCUUGCUCCUCUUGACAGUUCCGACCUCAUGUUUUCAUCCCACUGAAGAGACUUAGAAGAUGGAGCUCAGCCUUCUUGCUUUUCUGCUCUCAAAGACACUGCAUAUGCCAAUGGUGUGUGAUCUGAAAAACGAGAAAGACUCUGAGAACUGAUUAAAUAUGCAUGUAAAAAUCUUCCUAUCAAGUCACUGAACAGUAAAAUUAAAUAGGACAAGGAAGCAGGUGGUAAACGAACAAAGACUGAUGUGAAAGAGAUGUUUACAUAAAGAGCAGCCUAACUAAUCCUUUGAAAUAUGAAUGUAAAGACUUCAAGAUGUCUAAAACCUUGGAUAGCUCUAGUUACAGGCGUUUCAAGGGCUUCUAGCAUCUUUAAAUUUUUUCCUCCAGCAUCUUUUAAAGCAGGAAAGAAUAGAAUAAUUUUCCUUCUCAAGGUGAGAUUUAAAAAUACCCUUAGAUCUUGCUCAGAAUUGGAACACAUAUUCUCCUUGACCCAGCACGGGAGCUGUAACUCUCCAAGUAUAACAAAUUGUUUUCUUGUAGCUCCCAGAACGAAACUCAAUCACACCAGAAAGUCUCUGAAGAGAACAACUUCAGAAGACAUUUUUGAAAGUGAACAGAAACUCCUUGAUGACAAGAAAAAGAAUGGAUCUGGCUUAACUGCUUUAAAAAAAUGUGUCUGGGUCCUUCUCUUCUUUUUAGCUUCCUCACCUUUUUUUAGUUCUCAGCACUCCGGUCAGAUUUGUUACAUGUUAAUUAGAAAAUUUCUCCUUGUGAUGAGAUGAAGUUUUUGUGCUUUGAUACCAUAAAUGCUCAAUAGAGCUUCACCUGGAACCUCAAAUUAUGAAAGAUUAGCAUCAGAGUCAGCAGAUAGAUGUCUUGGCACUCUCAUCAUUUUAAAGUCUGUAUU
rnacentral:lncRNA from 1 species